UUUCCGUAGGUGAACCUGCGGAAGGAUCAUUAUCGUACAAAAUGUUAGGGGCGUGCGAGGGCUGACGCUGACCCAAAAGUCUGGCACGCCGGAGUGUGUUCUCUUGCAUAAUAAUCCAUCACACCCUUUGUGCAUCACCGCGUGGGCACCCCUCGGGAUCUUCUCGGAGGGGGGCUCGCGGUUUCACACAAACCCCCCUUUGAAAAGUGUAGAAUGACCACAUUUAUGCAAUCAAUACAACUUUCAACAACGGAUCUCUUGGCUCUC
rnacentral:misc_RNA from 1 species